rnacentral:tRNA from 1 species
GCCUGAUUAGCAUAGUGGCUAAUGCGUAGCACUUGUAAUGCAAAGAUCACAGGUUCGAUUCCUGUAUUAGGCA